UAAUACGGAGGAUCCAAGCGUUAUCCGGAUUUAUUGGGUUUAAAGGGUGCGUAGGCGGCUUAUUAAGUCAGGGGUGAAAGACGGUGGCUCAACCAUCGCAGUGCCUUUGAUACUGAUGAGCUUGAAUACACUAGAGGUAGGCGGAAUGUGACAAGUAGCGGUGAAAUGCAUAGAUAUGUCACAGAACACCGAUUGCGAAGGCAGCUUACUAUGGUGUGAUUGACGCUGAGGCACGAAAGCGUGGGGAUCAAACAGGAUUAGAUACCCUGGUAGUCCACGCCCUAAACGAUGAAUACUCGCUGUUAGCGAUAUACAGUUAGCGGCUAAGCGAAAGCGUUAAGUAUUCCACCUGGGGAGUACGCCCGCAAGGGUG
rnacentral:rRNA from 1 species